rnacentral:rRNA from 1 species
UACGGAGGGAGCUAGCGUUAUUCGGAAUUACUGGGCGUAAAGCGCACGUAGGCGGCUUUGUAAGUAAGAGGUGAAAGCCUGGUGCUCAACACCAGAACUGCCUUUUAGACUGCAUCGCUUGAAUCAUGGAGAGGUGAGUGGAAUUCCGAGUGUAGAGGUGAAAUUCGUAGAUAUUCGGAAGAACACCAGUGGCGAAGGCGGCUCACUGGACAUGUAUUGACGCUGAGGUGGCGAAAGCGUUGGGGAGCAAACAGG